rnacentral:tRNA from 1 species
GCUCAGUCGGUUGAGUGUCCAACUCUUGAUUUUAGCUCAGGUCUUGAUCUCAGGGUUGUGAGUUCAAGUCCCACAUUGGGCU